rnacentral:rRNA from 1 species
CCUACGGGAGGCUGCAGUGGGGAAUAUUGGGCAAUGGGCGCAAGCCUGACCCAGCAACGCCGCGUGAAGGAAGAAGGCUUUCGGGUUGUAAACUUCUUUUGUCAGGGACGAAGCAAGUGACGGUACCUGACGAAUAAGCCACGGCUAACUCCGUGCCAGCAGCCGCGGUAAUAAGUAGGUGGCAAGCGUUAUCCGGAUUUACUGGGUGUAAAGGGCGAGUAGGCGGGGAGGCAAGUCAGAUGUGAAAACCACGGGGUCAACCUGUGGCCUGCAGUUGAAACUGUUUUUCUUGAGUGCUGGAGAGGCAAUCGGAAUUCCGUGUGUAGCGGUGAAAUGCGUAGAUAUACGGAGGAACACCAGUGGCGAAGGCGGAUUGCUGGACAGUAACUGACGCUGAGGCGCGAAAGCGUGGGGAGCAAACAGGAUUAGAUACCCCAGUAGUC